rnacentral:tRNA from 1 species
GCCGGAGUGGCGAAAUUGGUAGACGCGCCAGAUUUAGGUUCUGGUGGGGCAACCCGUGCAGGUUCGAGUCCUGUCUCCGGUA